rnacentral:rRNA from 1 species
UGGGGAAUUUUGGACAAUGGGGGAAACCCUGAUCCAGCCAUCCCGCGUGUGCGAUGAAGGCCUUCGGGUUGUAAAGCACUUUUGGCAGGAAAGAAACGUCAUGGGUUAAUACCCCGUGAAACUGACGGUACCUGCAGAAUAAGCACCGGCUAACUACGUGCCAGCAGCCGCGGUAAUACGUAGGGUGCAAGCGUUAAUCGGAAUUACUGGGCGUAAAGCGUGCGCAGGCGGUUCGGAAAGAAAGAUGUGAAAUCCCAGACCUCAACUUUGGAACUGCAUUUUUAACUACCGGGCUAGAGUGUGUCAGAGGGAGGUGGAAUUCCGCGUGUAGCAGUGAAAUGCGUAGAUAUGCGGAGGAACACCGAUGGCGAAGGCAGCCUCCUGGGAUAACACUGACGCUCAUGCACGAAAGCGUGGGGAGCAAACAGG